rnacentral:rRNA from 1 species
AUUGAACGCUGGCGGCAGGCUUAACACAUGCAAGUCGAACGAGUGGCGGACGGGUGAGUAAUGUAUGGGAAAGUGCCUGAUGGAGGGGGCUAACUACUGGAAAGGGUAGCUAAUACCGCAUCCCAUUGGAGGGGCCCAUAUGGGAUUAGCUAGUAGGUGGGGUAAAGGCUCACCUAGGCCACGAUCCCUAGCUGGUCUGCGAGGAGUACCAGCCACACUGGAGCUGAGACACGGUCCAGACUCCUACGGGAGGCUGCAGGGGGGAAUUUUGCACAAUGGGUGCAAGCCUGAUGCAGCCAUCCCGCGUGUAUGAUGAAGGCCUUCGGGUUAUAAAGUACUUUCAGCGGGGAGGCGUUACCCGCAGAAGAAGCACCGGCUAACUACGUGCCAGCAGCCGCGGUAAUAC